UGGGGAAUAUUGCACAAUGGGCGAAAGCCUGAUGCAGCGACGCCGCGUGAGGGAUGACGGCCUUCGGGUUGUAAACCUCUUUCAGCAGGGAAGAAGCGAAAGUGACGGUACCUGCAGAAGAAGCGCCGGCUAACUACGUGCCAGCAGCCGCGGUAAUACGUAGGGCGCAAGCGUUGUCCGGAAUUAUUGGGCGUAAAGAGCUCGUAGGCGGUUAGUCGCGUCUGCUGUGAAAACUCGAGGCUCAACCUCGGGCUUGCAGUGGGUACGGGCUGACUAGAGUGCGGUAGGGGUGACUGGAAUUCCUGGUGUAGCGGUGGAAUGCGCAGAUAUCAGGAGGAACACCGAUGGCGAAGGCAGGUCACUGGGCCGCAACUGACGCUGAGGAGCGAAAGCAUGGGGAGCGAACAGGAUUAGAUACCCUGGUAGUCCAUGCCGUAAACGUUGGGCACUAGGUGUGGGGUCCAUUCCACGGAUUCCGUGCCGCAGCAAACGCAUUAAGUGCCCCGCCUGGGGAGUACGGCCGCAAGGCUAAAACUUAAAGGAAUUGACGGGGUCAUAGCUGUUUCCU
rnacentral:rRNA from 1 species